CCCUGGUUAGCUUAGUUGGUAGAGCGCUCCACUGAAAAUGAGAGGUCCUGGGUUCGAUGCCCGUACCAGGCG
rnacentral:tRNA from 1 species